rnacentral:pre_miRNA from 1 species
CGUAACGGACUACUCUCUAGAUUUUCGUGUCCAACGUUUAACUAUUCAUCUUAUUUAAAAUAUAUAUUAAAAAAAUUAAAAAGAUAAGUCACGCAUAAAGUAUUAAUCAUAUUUUAUCAUUUAACAACAAUGAAAAUACUAAUUAUAACAAAAAAAAUUAUAUAAGAUGGAUAGUCAAACGUUGGACACGAAAACUCAGGGUUUGUCUUUUU